CAGCGCAGGGGCUUUGUCGCCGCCCGUCACAGGGGGGAGGAAAGUCCGGGCAACGCAGAGCGCCGCCCUUCCUAACGGGAAGAUCUUCGAGAGGGGAUAGCAAGGGUAACAGAGAACGACCGCCGGGCCGCGCGUCCGGUAAGGGUGAAAAGGCGGGGUAAGGGCCCACCGUGUCGGCAGCGAUGUCGACAGCCGUACCUCUGGCGGGUUGCAAGACCAAGUAUACCGGCAUUCAAGGGCUGCUCGUCCAUUGUCGGGGGGUAGGUCGCUAACGCAGGCGGCGGGAGACCGUCGUCGUAGAUAAAUGACAAGGGACCCGCUUUCGCCGCGCCUUCGGGUGCGGCGAACAGAGGGUUACAGAACCCGGCUUAUACCCUGCGCUUUUUU
rnacentral:RNase_P_RNA from 1 species